UACGUAGGUGGCAAGCGUUGUCCGGAAUUAUUGGGCGUAAAGCGCGCGCAGGCGGCCUUUUAAGUCUGAUGUGAAAGCCCACGGCUCAACCGUGGAAUGCCAGUGGAAACUGUCGAGCUAGAGUCCGGAAGAGGCGAGUGGAAUUCCUGGUGUAGCGGUGAAAUGCGCAGAUAUCAGGAGGAACACCAAUGGCGAAGGCAGCUCGCUGGGACGGUACUGACGCUGAGACGCGAAAGCGUGGGGAGCAAACAGG
rnacentral:rRNA from 1 species